rnacentral:rRNA from 1 species
GUAGUCAUAUGCUUGUCUCAAAGAUUAAGCCAUGCAUGUCUAAGUAUAAGCAAUCUAUACGGUGAAACUGCGAAUGGCUCAUUAAAUCAGUUAUCGUUUAUUUGAUAGUACCUUACUACUUGGAUAACCGUGGUAAUUCUAGAGCUAAUACAUGCUAAAAACCUCGACUUCGGAAGGGGUGUAUUUAUUAGAUAAAAAACCAAUGCCCUUCGGGGCUCCUUGGUGAUUCAUAAUAACUUAACGAAUCGCAUGGCCUUGUGCCGGCGAUGGUUCAUUCAAAUUUCUGCCCUAUCAACUUUCGAUGGUAGGAUAGUGGCCUACCAUGGUUUCAACGGGUAACGGGGAAUUAGGGUUCUAUUCCGGAGAGGGAGCCUGAGAAACGGCUGCCACAUCCAAGGAAGGCAGCAGGCGCGCAAAUUACCCAAUCCCGACACGGGGAGGUAGUGACAAUAAAUACUGAUAC